ensembl:lncRNA
ACUGUGGCCUGGAGGGGUUUAGUAGGGCCUACUUUAGUGGGGUAUAGUUUGGGUUGGGACAGUUUAUCCCCCGGGGGAUAGUCUGGCCUGGGCCCAAGUAUACCCAGGUUGGGCCCAGGUAUACCCAGGUUUAAUCUCAGCCUGUUACACUGGGUCGUUUCACUCCUAACUGAGUCCUAUCUGAAAUGCGCUUCGUUGUAGUCCAUAACGAUUAACGUGGAGGAAUUGUAGUUUCGCCGCUGCGGACUGACUUCGCUGACAUGCGUCAUAACUUCGUAGCUUAGUGACCUCAACCACCGGCGGUCGUCUUUUCUUAGAUCCUCGUGAAUUCUCCUGACCAUCUUUCCUUGACCCUGGGACGUUUCACACAGGGGUCAAGGAAAGGUCGUCAGGUAUGAAAUGUUUUUGACAAUUCGAACAGGAAUAAAUGUAGAUGACUCUUUCAUUGCUGCCGACACAAACAGAUCCUUGGUCGUAUUAACAGCUAUCUUUGGCUGGCAGGAUUCAGCGAUAUCAGCUCUGGCCCUGUGACUGUGGCACCGGGUGUCGCUGACUUCGUUUUUCUCAGAGUAGAGCUGCCAAUGAUCGUAGUUGAUUUCUCGACAGGUGGGAAGAACCUGUUGGAAACACGAGGUGGUUGAUGGUGAUAGGCUGUAGUCCAAGUCCAAUCUCCAGUCUAAACCCUAAACGCCCAGGGCCUUUACUGACUUCACCUGGUUAUCUUGUAUUUAAUGUCACAUUGCAAUGAGUAAUAACCUUGGGCAAAGUCAUCCGGGGUCCUAAAGGGUUGAAAAUGCUGUGAGCGACCAGAGACUGAUCCAUGCCGGCAAACUGCUGCCCGACCACCUGCACAUCAAAGAUCUCUUCAGACAGGCCGACGGGGUUCCCACACUGCACCUGGUGUGUCCACCGCAAAGGCCUCUGGGAGCUCGACCUAAGGUAAGAG